GACGAACCGUGCGAACGUUAUUCGGAAUCAUUGGGCUUAAAGGGCGCGUAGGCGGCGGCGUAAGUUGGAAGUGAAAUCCCAUCGGCUCAACCGUGGAAUUGCUCCCAGUACUGCGUCGCUCGAGGGGGAUAGGGGUCUGCGGAACUACCGGUGGAGCGGUGAAAUGUGUUGAUAUCGGUGGGAACGCCAGUGGCGAAAGCGGCAGACUGGACCCUUCCUGACGCUGAUGCGCGAAAGCUAGGGGAGCAAACAGG
rnacentral:rRNA from 1 species